rnacentral:lncRNA from 1 species
CCAUUAUCACUGUUUCCCCAGGGGGAUAGUUUUACAGUCAAAUGAGUGUGAGGGAACUGGGAGAGGACCUUCCUUUCCACAAAACAAAAGCUAAAAAGGCUUUAUUCCUUUCUCCUUCUCCCUGAAGUACAGUGACUCCCUUCUAGACAGCCUUGGCAGGAGCUCAGAUUGUUUUAUGCCAGCUCCAUGGUGGUAAACAGAUAGUCCUUGAUUUUCCAUUUGGGGUUUGGUGAUGGUACUGGUGGUGAGGGGAGGAGAUCAAGGCAUUUGUCAAGGGACUAAGUAAGCGAUGUUCUAACAAGACUGAUGAGGGAGAAUCAAAGAUGAAUGCAAAGGUUAUCAGAAGGCCAUGAUCUAUAAAUUAGAUCUCUAUGUUCCCAAAGGCAGUGCUUCUCAUAUUUUAACACAGCUAAGAAUCACCACAAGACUUGGCAAAACAGACUUCUGGCCCCACCUGCUGCAUUUUUAAUGGUAAGGAAGUGAGAUUUUCCUUCCUAACACAUUCCCAAGUGAUGCUGACACUGCUGACCCAGGGACCCUGCUUGGAGAAGGACUGCCACAGAAGAACCUCCCUAGAGCUUACACCAGCAAGAAGAGUUCCUUGCUAAGGGUGUGGAAACUGCUCUCAGCCCUCACCUGGCAGCUGGCUCUGUGGCUCUGCAGACCCCGUGGGUGGUCAGGACCCAUCUGGACAAUGUCGCUCUCAGAGGCAGACCAUUCUACAGGUAUUAAAGAGGUUCACCUGCUUUCUG